rnacentral:rRNA from 1 species
GAUGAACGCUAGCUACAGGCUUAACACAUGCAAGUCGAGGGGUAACGAGAGGAAAGCUUGCUUUCCUUGUCGACGACCGGCGCACGGGUGAGUAACGCGUAUCCAACCUGCCCCCAACUAGGGAAUAACCUUGCGAAAGUAAGACUAAUACCCUAUAAUUUCCUCAGAUGUCAUCUGACGAGGAAUAAAGAUUUAUCGGUUGUGGAUGGGGAUGCGUGUGAUUAGCUUGUUGGCGGGGUAACGGCCCACCAAGGCAACGAUCCGUAGGGGUUCUGAUAGGGAGGUCCCCCACAUUGGGACUGAGACACGGUCCAAACUCCUACGGGAGGCAGCAGUGAGGAAUAUUGGUCAAUGGGCGGAAGCCUGAACCAGCCAAGUAGCGUGCAGGAUGACGGUCCGAUGGGUUGUAAACUGCUUUUAUACAGGAAUAAAGUUAGCCACGUGUGGUUAUUUGUAGGUACUGUAUGAAUAAGGACCGGCUAAUUCCGUGCCAGCCGCCGCCGUAA